AGCGAACGCUGGCGGCAGGCCUAACACAUGCAAGUCGAACGAACUCUUCGGAGUUAGUGGCGGACGGGUGAGUAACACGUGGGAACGUGCCUUUUGGUUCGGAAUAACUCAGGGAAACUUGUGCUAAUACCGAAUGUGCCCUUCGGGGGAAAGAUUUAUCGCCAUUAGAGCGGCCCGCGUCUGAUUAGCUAGUUGGUGAGGUAACGGCUCACCAAGGCGACGAUCAGUAGCUGGUCUGAGAGGAUGACCAGCCACACUGGGACUGAGACACAGCCCAGACUCCUACGGGAGGCAGCAGUGGGGAAUCUUGCGCAAUGGGCGAAAGCCUGACGCAGCCAUGCCGCGUGAAUGAUGAAGGUCUUAGGAUUGUAAAAUUCUUUCACCGGGGACGAUAAUGACAGUACCCGGAGAAGAAGCCCCGGCUAACUUCGUG
rnacentral:rRNA from 1 species